rnacentral:rRNA from 1 species
GAUGAACGCUGGCGGCGUGCCUAAUACAUGCAAGUCGAGCGAACAGACGAGGCGCUUGCUUCUCUGACGUUACCGGCGGACGGGUGAGUAACACGUGGAUAACCUACCUAUAAGACUGGGAUCACUUCGGGAACCCGGAGCCAAUAUCCGAUCUUAUAUUGAACCGCAUGGUUCAUUAGUGAAAGACGGUUUUGCUGUCCCUUAUGGAGGGUUCCGCGCCGGAUUAGCUAGUUGGUAAGGUAACGGCUUACCAAGGCAACGAUGCGUAGCCGAUCUGAGAGGGUGAUCAGUCACACUGGAACUGAGACACGGUCCAGACUCCUACGGGAGGCAGCAGUAGGGAAUAUUGCGCAAUGGGCGAAAGCCUGACGGAGCAACGCCGCGUGAGUGAUGAAGGUCUUCGGAUCGUAAAGCUCUGUUAUUAGGGAAGAACAAAUGUAUAAGUAACUAUGCACGUCUUGACGGUACCUAAUCAGAAAGCCACGGCUAACUACGUG